UACGAAGGGGGCUAGCGUUGCUCGGAAUCACUGGGCGUAAAGGGCGCGUAGGCGGCGUUUUAAGUCGGGGGUGAAAGCCUGUGGCUCAACCACAGAAUGGCCUCGAUACUGGGACGCUUGAGUAUGGUAGAGGUUGGUGGAACUGCGAGUGUAGAGGUGAAAUUCGUAGAUAUUCGCAAGAACACCAGUGGCGAAGGCGGCCCGCUGGGCAGUGGCUGACGCUGAGGCGCGACAGCGUGGGGAGCAAACAGG
rnacentral:rRNA from 1 species